UGUCUGUCAAUAAUGAAAUUGAUCCCGACGAAUUGCAGACUUACAUGCCAGAAGUUCUCAAAAGUAAUGGAACCCAAAUUUAUGGCGAUUGUUUCAAGGAAGUCAAAGCUAGCAGUACAGGACCAUUACAUGUCAUAAUAUGGAAUGCUCACAAAUGCAUUUUCAAAAAAGAUCCGGAGAACUUCAUCAUGUUUUGAGGAGUCAACAGAAGAAGAAAAAUCGACCAAUAUUAUUCAUAUUCAGUACUUAUUUUUAUAUAAGCGAAUAUUUUUAAGAAACCCCAAUAAACAGCUGUUCUCAAAAA